AUUGAACGCUGGCGGCAGGCCUAACACAUGCAAGUCGAACGAGUGGCGGACGGGUGAGUAAUGUCUGGGAAACUGCCCGAAGGAGGGGGAUAACUACUGGAAACGGUAGCGAAUACCGCAUAACAGCCGAUGUGCCCAGAUGGGAGUAGCUAGUAGGUGGGGUAACGGCUUACCUUGGCGACGAUCCCUAGCUGGUCUGAGAGGAUGACCAGCCACACUGGAACUGAGACACGGUCCAGACUCCUACGGGAGGCAGCAGUGGGGAAUAUUGCACAAUGGGCGCAAGCCUGAUGCAGCCAUGCCGCGUGUAUGAAGAAGGCCUUCGGGUUGUAAAGUACUUUCAGCGAGGAGGCGUUACUCGCAGAAGAAGCACCGGCUAACUCCGUGCCAGCAGCCGCGGUAAUUC
rnacentral:rRNA from 1 species